ACGCCAUUCAGUCUUUCUCAUACGGCUCCGAGAGGAAGAGUGUAGUGCAGAGAUGGCUAAAGUCUGUAUAAGCAAACACCAUGGGUGUGUUUCCAGUUUUUACGCAUUAAUGGAGAAAUAUCUCACUCGACAAUGGCUUUCGAUGGGCGCGAGUUGAGAUAAUUUGUGCUUACUACAUUAGUUAAAACCUAGUUACUGAAGAGUUCAGGAGAACCACGUGGCUGAAGGAGGCACGAUGCGGCACAAGGUAUGGUGCUGCAGCCCUGCAUCUCACAAUAAACUAUGUCCAAAUCCACCACAGUGCAGGGCGGAAAGGAACAACUGAGGCUUGAGCCUUAUUAUUAAAAGGCAGAACCUCCUUCCACGUGCUGGAAGAAACAAUUGCUCGUUACUACAUGAGUUAAUAAGGGACCAUGUGAUCCAAGGAUUCAAGAAGAUUUUAAGUAAGGCGGGGCACUGGACAAAGCAGUAAAAGCUGUUGAGCGGAAGAACGUGAAAAUCAAACCUGCAACAGUACAUGUGUGGCAUGCGGAAUAAAAUUUUUAAUUAAAUAAACUUGUUAACCUGA